CCUACAGCUAUGAGGAAGUCCAGGAGGAGACGGGAGAAGCUGGGGAGGCUGGUGCUACUGCUGGAAGACAGGCCAAAGAGGAAGAAUGAAAAAAAAUUCCAGCAGGCCAUUGAGAAAGAACUUUGAACAACAAAUGUUUAAUAGGGAUUGCAGCAGUGUGAUGCAGUCCCCAACUUUGAUUUCCUGCUCCACACGAGAUCCUAGUGAACUGUCUCUAGUUAUUACUCCUUAGCUCCAUGUAGUUCCAGAUCCUUUCCUGUGAGUGGAUUUGGCUUGGACAGAAGAGGGAAGACUUAUGUGGAGGUGGGCGCUUGGCUGCCGCCACCAUUGUGGCCAUCUGGAAAGGGUUAAUCUUCGAGAGGAGAGCCCAGUGACUGUCGUGCAUUGCCUGGGACAGCCCAGACACCUAAUUCUGAUCAGACAGAAGUCCCUGAUCAGAUGAAAAGAAAAAGCAAAGAUUCUGUCUGUCCUGACCGCCCUGCAGGUUAAGCUGCCCUGCAGCCAGCAGAGUGCCUGGCAUACGGGAGGCACCCUGUGCAGCAGCCAGGGCUACUCGCCCAACUGGGAGGAGGCGGAUGGUGGGUAAAAGUGAGCACUGGGCCUUCCUGAUGUGAGGCGAGGAUGUGGAUCUGGGAGGAAAGACAAAUGAAGAAGCAGGUGGACAGCCCCAGCUGGGCUCCAGGUGGGGCCUGGGGUAAAGUGACCCUUCUGCAUUGCUUUCCUGCUCUGGGUACCCGUAACUGCUAACAGACCAGGGCUGAGUCCCCAGGCAGCCUUCUUGUCUGGGGUUCAGUCUGUGCCACCCUCUCCAACUCACCUACUCUCUGUUUUCCAUCUGCACUGAGACCUUGUGAACCACCGUGAAAAAUGCUUCUCACUUCCAGUCCCAAGAGAGGUGGAGAGCCGCAGUAGAACGUUGCAGAAGGAGAGGCGGCUUCUAGCUGGGGAUGUGGGGGCUGGCCCUUGAGCAGGACUUUGCAGGAUGGGGUGGACAUCCAUUGCUAUAUAUUCUCCUGGUGCUGUGCUAUAGGACCCCCUACUGUUUCAGGAAUAAAGCCCAGCCCCUGCCAGGUGCUUGCAGUCCAGGGGGCACCCAGGUGAGUGGCAGUCAGGGCCAACACUGUGUGGUGGCAGGGCUGGGCUGGGAGCCUCACAUACAUUUUCCUCAUGAUCUUCCCCUGUGACCUUGGUGAUUUCCUGAGAUUUUUGUCAGUCCUUCCCGUUCUGCAAGUUGAUCAGUUUGGCCCUUUGGUUUUCAGAUUUUUAUGGAAAGAACUUCUCUCAUCCCUGCUUCAUAUCCUUUCAGUUCUGUCCAAAGGCAAAUCUCUGACGCAUUCCCACUCCGGCCAUCUGACGAGUGCUGGGUCACGAGGGCAGGCUGCAGCCUCCCUUGCAGUUCCUUGCCUUAGACGCCCGUGCCAGCCCAUUCAACCAUCACAAAUGCUCAGACAGAGCAGAAGGUUCCCAACAGGCUGCGCCUGCGCUGGACCACCCCCUUUCCUCCUUCCUUCAGCUGCCCCUCUUUCUGGAUGGGUAAAAGCACUUCCAUGUUUUCAGAGGCGUGGAGGGAGCCCGAGAAGAGCAGAUGUUGACACCACCAUCACUGCCUGCAGCAGUGAGACCAGGGGCACAGUUUUUGUUGAAAGGGUCGACCAGGAAGCACUUCCUUGACUCUGUCCUAAAGCCUCUGGAGAGCCCUUAAAUUUGUGGUCCUUGAAGCUAUUGUAAAGGUGAGGACACAGCGAGGAGUAGGCUGUCUAUGAACCAGGAAGUGGGCCCUCACCAGACACAGAAUCUGCCAGCACCUCAAUUUGGACUUCCCAGACUCCAGAACUGCAAGAAAUUAAUUUCUAUUGCUCACAAGCCACCCAGUCUAUGGUAUUCUGUUACAGCAGCUGGAGCAAACUGAGACAGUACUUGACAGUGAUUUUCAUGAAGGUUCUCCCUUGCUCAUUUUUAAGCCCACUGGUUCAGACAGAAGCCUCUGGGAGAGCCCUCCAGAGUCCACCUUGAAGGCUUCAUUCCUUCUACCCAGAGCAUCUCCGUGGAGAGGAAGAAAAAGCAUCAACGAAAUGAGGUGCCCCAGCGGUUCUGGGGAGCAAUUCCUCUCUUCAUAUGACCAUUUGGGAAACCCCCAGUGAGAUGGAGUGUGCUUUUAAGCCAUGAAAACCAUGCACAUCAGCCCCACCACAGAGCCUGUGUGAUUUCAUCUUAGAUGGUAUCUUGGAAGCAAGACCUACCUGGACUUUUUAGAAAUCUAAUCUAAUCAUUUUCUGUCUUGGAGUAGGUAAGUUCCCAUUUGCUGUCAUUACAGACAUACUUCAAUUUGUUAUUAUUUUGCUACCAUGUGUUUUGGGUUUUGGGGGGGUGGGGUUUGGGUUU
rnacentral:lncRNA from 1 species